rnacentral:rRNA from 1 species
CUGAGCAUUAGCUCAGGGCUUUUUCUUUGCCUGUCAUUUAAUUAUUGCUCAAUUCGCAAAAAUCCUCUGCAUUUCUCGCUCUUUUUCUGCAAAGCGCUGAAGGUCAUAAUCCCCUCAGUUAACGAACAUAGUGAUUAAAAAGAGGAAUUCUAUGACUAUCCCUGCAUUCGGUUUAGGUACUUUUCGCCUGAAAGACGGCGUGGUUAUCGCUUCUGUGAAAACGGCGCUUGAACUGGGCUACCGUGCUGUCGACACUGCGCAAAUCUAUGAUAAUGAAGCGGCUGUUGGACAGGCGAUUGCUGAGAGCGGCGUACCACGUAGCGAGCUGUAUAUCACCACCAAGAUCUGGAUUGAAAACCUUAGCAAAGACAAGCUAAUCCCAAGCCUGAAAGAGAGCCUGAAAAAACUGCGUACCGAUUAUGUCGAUCUGACGCUGAUCCACUGGCCAUCUCCGGGUGAUGCCGUGUCUGUCGAAGAAUUUAUGCAGGCAUUGCUGGAAGCUAAAAAACAAGGGCUGACUCGCGAAAUUGGCAUCUCAAACUUCACCAUUCCGUUGAUGGAAAAGGCUAUUGCCGCGGUGGGCGCAGACAAUAUCGCCACCAACCAGAUUGAGCUAUCUCCGUAUCUGCAGAAUCGUAAGGUGGUUGACUGGGCGAAAGCGCACGGUAUCCACAUCACCUCUUAUAUGACGCUGGCAUACGGUAAAGCGCUGAAAGAUGAAGUGAUUGCGCGCAUUGCGGCUAAACAUAAUGCGACCCCGGCGCAGGUUAUUCUGGCAUGGGCAAUGGGUGAAGGUUACUCCGUGAUCCCUUCAUCCACCAGGCGUGAAAACCUGGCAAGCAACCUGCUGGCGCAGGACCUGCAUCUGGAUGCCGAAGAUAAAAAUGCGAUCGCGGCACUGGACUGCAACGAUCGUCUGGUUAGCCCGGAAGGACUGGCUCCUGCCUGGGAUUAAUUACCCGAUCCUUUGUACCUUUAACCCUCUUUCACAGCUCCUUCGGGAGCUGUUCUUAUAUAUUCGCUCAAAAAGUCGAUAAAUGCCCGAAUACGUGUGCUGACGGCGCGAUCGCUGUAGUAAACGGCGCUGAAAGGCAUUUCUACCGGCAGACGUUUAUCGGCCAGCAGUUCCACCAGUUCUCCUCGGGCGAUCUCUUUAUCAAUCAUAUAAUCUGAAAGACAUGCAAUGCCGUUACCGUUCAGGCAAAGCUGUUUUAACGUUUCCCCGCUAUUGGAAGAAAUCCCACAUUCAACCUCAUGGAGCUGCCCAUCGCUACAGGCUAUUGGCCAGGUAUUGAGCGAAACAGGUUCUGAGAACCCCAGACACAGAUGCCGUUUUAACUGUUCAACGGUCUCUGGCUUGCCAAAACGGGCAAUAUAAUCCGGUGAGGCGAUAAUCUUACGAUAACUGGUAAAUAACGGACGUGCGCGCAGACUUGAAUCUGUCAACCUACCUGCGCGUAUCGCAACAUCCACUUUUCGUUCAAUAAGAUUG